rnacentral:rRNA from 1 species
GCAAUCUGCCCUAAAGACUGGGAUACCACUUGGAAACAGGUGCUAAUACCGGAUAACAACAUGAAUCGCAUGAUUCAAGUUUGAAAGGCGGCGCAAGCUGUCACUUUAGGAUGAGCCCGCGGCGCAUUAGCUAGUUGGUGGGGUAAAGGCCUACCAAGGCAAUGAUGCGUAGCCGAGUUGAGAGACUGAUCGGCCACAUUGGGACUGAGACACGGCCCAAACUCCUACGGGAGGCAGCAGUAGGGAAUCUUCCACAAUGGACGCAAGUCUGAUGGAGCAACGCCGCGUGAGUGAAGAAGGUCUUCGGAUCGUAAAGCUCUGUUGUUGGUGAAGAAGGAUAGAGGCAGUAACUGGUCUUUAUUUGACGGUAAUCAACCAGAAAGUCACGGCUAACUACGUGCCAGCAGCCGCGGUAAUACGUAGGUGGCAAGCGUUGUCCGGAUUUAUUGGGCGUAAAGCGAGCGCAGGCGGAAUGAUAAGUCUGAUGUGAAAGCCCACGGCUCAACCGUGGAACUGCAUCGGAAACUGUCAUUCUUGAGUGCAGAAGAGGAGAGUGGAACUCCAUGUGUAGCGGUGGAAUGCGUAGAUAUAUGGAAGAACACCAGUGGCGAAGGCGGCUCUCUGGUCUGCAACUGACGCUGAGGCUCGAAAGCAUGGGUAGCGAACAGGAUUAGAUACCCUGGUAGUCCAUGCCGUAAACGAUGAGCGCUAGGUGUUGGGGACUUUCCGGUCCUCAGUGCCGCAGCAAACGC